rnacentral:rRNA from 1 species
CGGCACGGGUGAGUAACACGUAUGCAACCUGCCUGCCACAGCCGGAUAAUCGGGAGAAAUUCCGUCUAAUACGGCAUAAUGCAUCGACGGGACAUCCUGUUGGUGCCAAAGGUUAAUUCCGGUGGCGGAUGGGCAUGCGUCGCAUUAGUUAGUUGGCGGUGUAACGGACCACCAAGACGACGAUGCGUAGGGGUUCUGAGAGGAGGGUCCCCCACACUGGUACUGAGACACGGACCAGACUCCUACGGAAGGCAGCAG